rfam:Desulfobacter postgatei 2ac9 chromosome, whole genome shotgun sequence.
UGCGGGGUGGAGCAGUCUGGUAGCUCGUCGGGCUCAUAACCCGAAGGUCGUUGGUUCAAAUCCUUCCCCCGCUA